GCGACGGCAUCGGGAUUAAGAGGUGUGUUUUGUUUUUGCGGCUCGCCGAUGUAAAUUUUUACGUACGCAAAAUAGACGAUGCCGAAAGUACGAGUCAGAACUACCACAAAAGCUUCCUGGUCUUCUGACACAUUGGAAAAAGCAGUGAAACUUAUAGAAGAAGAUGGAUUUUUGUAUGAUCCUCAUUACCCGCAAGGUGACCACAAUAGCCCAUACCUCUGUGCAAUGGGAGUCAAAACAGUUAAUUUUUGUAACUUUCAUAUUUGCCAAAGAUGAUUAGUAAUGUGACGAUUAUUGAUCUCAAAUAAUAGUCAAUUAAGUAGAUUUUGUUAUGAGGCGGUUGCAAUAAAGAUUUCGUUUCAUUUUA